rnacentral:rRNA from 1 species
CAGUAGCCGCGGUAAUACAGAGGGUGCGAGCGUUAAUCGGAUUUACUGGGCGUAAAGCGUGCGUAGGCGGCUUUUUAAGUCGGAUGUGAAAUCCCUGAGCUUAACUUAGGAAUUGCAUUCGAUACUGGGAUGCUAGAGUAUGGGAGAGGAUGGUAGAAUUCCAGGUGUAGCGGUGAAAUGCGUAGAGAUCUGGAGGAAUACCGAUGGCGAAGGCAGCCAUCUGGCCUAAUACUGACGCUGAGGUACGAAAGCAUGGGGAGCAAACAGGAUUAGAUACUCCUGUAGUCCCUGUCUCUUAUAC